rnacentral:rRNA from 1 species
CAGUCGCCGCGGGAACACGUAGGGUGCAAGCGUUAAUCGGAAUUACUGGGCGUAAAGCGUGCGCAGGCGGUUUGUUAAGACAGAUGUGAAAUCCCCGGGCUCAACCUGGGAACUGCAUUUGUGACUGGCAAGCUAGAGUCUGGCAGAGGGGGGUAGAAUUCCAGGUGUAGCGGUGAAAUGCGUAGAGAUCUGGAGGAAUACCGGUGGCGAAGGCGGCCCCCUGGACAAAGACUGACGCUCAGGUGCGAAAGCGUGGGGAGCAAACAGGACUAGAUACCCGCGUAGUCCCUGUCUCUUAUAA